CUUCUUCUCCACCGUUGUCGUUGUUGCUGUUCAAUUUUGGCGCCGGAGCGGGUCCGUGGGAGGAGUUCACAUGCCCCUGCUGCUGCUCCCGGUGGUCUCUCUUCUACGCUUCCUCGUAUCGCUCCCGAUGUGUUGGAAUUGAGCGCUUAGCAGUUUGCAAAAUGUGGGAGUGCGGUAGUUUUGCUUAAGGAAAUUUCGCGUAUGCCGAAUAAAAUUUCGAGGGAGUUGUGUGGGGUUAGAGAAUGGCUGCAUUGCAAUGGAGCGGGUGUUGUAGCUGCUAGUGCUUGUAUUAGGCAGGGGGGCGCGUGAAUUUUCGAUUGGAUCAGAGGUUCGAGAUUCGGAGUUUUCUCAGGUUUCAUAUGCGGUGGAUUUAAGAGGUUUCGAGGAUGAAAGAACCAGCUCCGGCGACAGGGGACGUAGUGUUGAGCAGUAGGAAGAGGUUGAAGCCUCCGAGUAACAACAAUGGCCAGCCUUCGAGGCGACCCCGGGAGGAAGAAUUAGGGAGAGAUGGCUUAGUGUCCAUACCGCGGCUCUUGAGGACUCCUAACGUGAACCACAAGUCGGAAAACUAUGAGGAUUUGGAGGACUUGGAGUAUCCGGCCGCAUUGUACAGUACCAUGGAGCAGCAUUUGCCGUCCAGCUUCUUGAACGCCCCGCGUGAAAAGAAGUUGGCAUUGCUUGAUAGGAUACUGUCAAAGUAUCGCCCCAAUGGAGAGCGCGCAAAGAAGCAUCGGGAGUACAGGGAAAGGAUAAAGCAUAAUUAUCAGCCGUUGCAUGAUGAGCUCUAUACUCUCGAUCCUGAGCGAUUUUUUGUGAAGUCCUUCUUGGAUGCGGUGAAGGAUGGCUCUGAGGUUGCUCUUCGUCGCAUUCUGACCGAACACUCUUCAGGGGUUUUUACUUUCAGCAUGUUGAAACCUUCUUUCUGUUCAAAAAUGUUGGAGGAGGUAGAGCACUUCGAGAGAUGGGCACAGGAAGCAAGAGUAAAGGUGAUGCGUCCAAACACCAUGAACAACUAUGGAGCAGUCCUUGAUGAUAUUGGAAUGGAGGUCAUGUUGAACCACUUAAUGCUUCGCUAUCUCAAACCCAUGGCUGCGGUGUUGUUCCUCAACGUUGGUGGAUCGUCUUUAGACACUCACCAUGGUUUUGUUGUGGAGUAUGCAAUGGAUCGUGAUCUUGAUCUUGGUUUUCAUGUUGAUGACUCUGAAGUGACACUGAACGUCUGCCUUGGCAAGAAGUUUGAUGGAGGCGAGCUUUUCUUCCGUGGUGUUCGAUGCGACAAGCAUGUCAACGGCGAAGCUCGUUCCGAGGAAGUAUUGGAAUAUUCUCAUGUACCUGGUGAUGCUAUUCUGCAUGCUGGUCGUCAUCGACAUGGUGCAAAGGCCAUUACCUCGGGUCAGCGGACAAACCUGAUUCUAUGGUGUCGCAGCUCGGAAUUUCGGGAGCUUAAGAAGUACCAGCGUGAUUUCUCCAGUUGGUGUGGAGAGUGUUUGCUGCGGAAGAAAGAAGGAAAGAAAGAAAGAGGUCGUCGGCUCUCUAGUGCUAAGCGGCAAUUGUCGUCUUGAUGUCUCCAUCAGAUUCACUUGGUACAGAAAGCUCAUGUCAUAGUUCCUGUAAACUACGUUGGAUACAAAAAACAACAAAUUCUUUAGAGGAAAUUUUAUACCUGGGCUUGGAAGAUGUGGAUGCUGGAAAAGCGAAAUUUUGGCAUACGCUAUUAUCAAAAAAUUAGCUGCUAUGACGCUUGAAAUCAUCUCCAUACACACCCUACCAAUAGAUAGGAGGUCCUGGUUCAAAUAUUUAUGUAAAGGAUUCAGAUGAAGAUGAGACCAAGUUAUAAAAUCCUCAAGCACAUUUGUUAUGUGGUCGUUUCACAAAAAUGUUAAACGCUCAGCAUGACCUUA